rnacentral:misc_RNA from 1 species
AAGUCGUAACAAGGUUUCCGUAGGUGAACCUGCGGAAGGAUCAUCAUUGAAUUAUCCAUCCUACAAACCCUGUGAACUGUAUGUAAAGGAGCAAUUUGGCAGGAAGGCUUGGCAGCAGCUGGUUGUCGAGUCGUGUCUCUCUGCGGGGGGGAGCCUUUUGGUUUAACCCCAAGGCAGAUGAGCGACUGCCAUUUGCUCGCAUUUAAAUAAAAACGCUUUAAACAAUUAUUACUGAUACAAAAUAUUAAACUAUUAAACAACUUUCAACAAUGGAUCUCUUGGCUCUC